UAAAGAUUUUAAGGGCGUACGGUGGAUGCCUUGGCGAUAUCAGCCGAAGAAGGACGCGGUAAGCUGCGAUAAGCUACGGAGAGGUGCAAGCAACCUGUGACCCGUAGAUUUCCGAAUGGGGGAACCCGGCAGUGGUUAUGCACUGUCACCCAUAGCUUAGACUAUGAGGAGGGCACCUGGGGAACUGAAACAUCUAAUUACCCAGAGGAACAGUAAUCAAACGAGAUUUUCUUAGUAGCGGCGAGCGAACGGGAAAGAGGCCAAACCGGAGCGGGCAACCGCACCGGGGUUGAGGACAGUCAUCAAGUGUAAAUGAGGUAGAAGAAUCGAGCUGGAAAGCUCAGCCGCAGAAGGUGAAAGCCCUGUAAUCGAAACCUUGCAUACAUGGGACUGUAUCCAGAGUACCACGAGACACGUGAAACCUUGUGGGAAGCAGGGGGGACCACCCUCCAAGCCAAAAUACUGAUAUCGACCGAUAGCGCAUAGUACCGUGAGGGAAAGGUGAAAAGAACCCCUGGCGGGGAGUGAAAGAGAACCUGAAACCGUAUGUCUACAAACAGUCGAAGUCUGUAUAUAUAUCAGGACGACGGCGUGCCUAUUGAAGAAUGAACCGACGAGUUACUGUUGCUAGCGAGGUUAAGUGGAAAACAUGGAGCCGCAGCGAAAGCGAGUCUGAACAGGGCGUUCAGUUAGUAAUAGUAGACCCGAAACCGUAGUGAUCUAUCCAUGGCCAGGUUGAAGCACAGGUAAAAUUGUGUGGAGGACCGAACUCGUGAGCGUUGAAAAGCUUUGGGAUGAGUUGUGGAUAGGGGUGAAAUGCCAAUCGAACACGGAGAUAGCUGGUUCUCCCCGAAAUAGCUUUAGGGCUAGCCUCGAGGUAGAGAGUAUAGGCGGUAGAGCACUGAUCGGGCUAGGGGCCAUACCGGUUACCGAACCUAGUCAAACUACGAAUGGCUAUACUUAUACUCGGGAGUCAGACAGUGAAUGAUAAGGUCCAUUGUCAAGAGGGAAACAGCCCAGAACACCGACUAAGGUCCCCAAUGUUACACUAAGUGGCGAAGGAUGUGGAAUUUCCAAAACAACCAGGAUGUUGGCUUAGAAGCAGCCACCAUUUAAAGAGUGCGUAAUAGCUCACUGGUCGAGAGACUCUGCGCCGAAAAUGUCCGGGGCUAAAGUGUAAAACCGAAGUCGUGUCAUAUGCAGCAAUGUAUAUGGGUAGGGGAGCGUUCUCAUCGGGCUGAAGCAGUACCGUAAGGAGUUGUGGACUGAUGAGAAGUGAGAAUGUCGGUAUGAGUAGCGAAAAGAAUGGUGAGAAUCCAUUCCACCGAAAGCCUAAGGGUUCCUGAGCAACGAUCGUCGUCUCAGGGUAAGUCGGGACCUAAGCCGAGGCGGAAUAGCGUAGGCGAUGGACAACAGGUUGAAAUUCCUGUACCGGUGUGAAUCGUUUGAUCGAUGGAGUGACACAGUAAGGUAGGUCAGCACGCGAUUGGAAGAGCGUGUUUAAGCAGGUAGGUUGAGCUAUAGGCAAAUCCGUAGCUCUAAAAGCUGAGAUGUGAUGACGAGCGACUAGCAAUAGUCGCGAAGUGAUUGAUCCUACACUGUCGAGAAAAGCUUCUAGGUAGAGACACAUCGCCCGUACCAAAACCGACACAGGUAGGCGGGGAGAGAAUCCUAAGGUGCGCGGGAAAACCCUCGUUAAGGAACUCGGCAAAAUGCCUCCGUAACUUCGGGAAAAGGAGGACUCAUGUAGUGUGAAGAGCAGAAGCGCUUGGAGCAUGAAUGAGUGGCACAAGAGAGGCGCAAGCGACUGUUUACCACAAACACAGGUGCCUGCUAAAGCGAAAGCUGAUGUAUAGGUGCUGACACCUGCCCGGUGCUGGAAGGUUAAGAGGAGGGGUUAGACUUCGGUCGAAGCUCUGAAUUGAAGCCCCAGUAAACGGCGGCCGUAACUAUAACGGUCCUAAGGUAGCGAAAUUCCUUGUCGGGU
rnacentral:rRNA from 1 species